rnacentral:tRNA from 1 species
GGGGCGGUAGCUCAGUUGGUAGAGCGCCAGCUUUGCAAGCUGGAUGUCAGGAGUUCGAGUCUCCUCCGCUCCA